rnacentral:rRNA from 1 species
GACGAACGCUGGCGGCGUGCUUAACACAUGCAAGUCGAGCGAGAAAGCUCCUUCGGGAGCGAGUACAGCGGCGAACGGGUGAGUAACACGUGGGCAACCUGCCCAAGGGAGCGGGACAACCCGGGGAAACCCGGGCUAAUACCGCAUAACGCGUCAUGUCCCAAGGCGUGACGCCAAAAGGUAGCUUCGGCCUCCGCCCUUGGAUGGGCCCGCGGCGCAUUAGCUUGUUGGUGGGGUAACGGCCUACCAAGGCGACGAUGCGUAGCUGGUCUGAGAGGACGAUCAGCCACACUGGGACUGAGACACGGCCCAGACUCCUACGGGAGGCAGCAGUGGGGAAUCUUGCGCAAUGGGCGAAAGCCUGACGCAGCAACGCCGCGUGGGGGAAGAAGGCUUUCGGGUUGUAAACCCCUUUCAGGAGGGACGAAGCUUCCGAGGUUAAUAGCCUACGGGGUGACGGUACCUCCAGAAGAAGCCCCGGCUAACUACGUGCCAGCAGCCGCGGUAAUACGUAGGGGGCAAGCGUUGUCCGGAAUCAUUGGGCGUAAAGCGCGUGUAGGCGGCUUGGUAAGUCCGGUGUGAAAUCUUGGGGCUCAGCCCCAAGCCUGCAUCGGAUACUGCCUCGCUCGAGUUCGGGAGGGGAGAGCGGAAUUCCUAGUGUAGCGGUGAAAUGCGCAGAUAUUAGGAAGAACACCGGUGGCGAAGGCGGCUCUCUGGAACGAUACUGACGCUGAGACGCGAAAGCGUGGGGAGCGAACAGGAUUAGAUACCCUGGUAGUCCACGCCGUAAACGAUGGGCACUAGAUGUGGGCGGUGUCGACUCCGUCCGUGUCGCAGCUAACGCAUUAAGUGCCCCGCCUGGGGAGUACGGCCGCAAGGCUA